UGGCGGCAGGCUUAACACAUGCAAGUCGAGCGGUAGCAGAUCUAGCUUGCUAGAUGCUGACGAGCGGCGACGGGUGAGUAACGCGUAGGAACCUGCCCAGUAGUGGGGGAUAGCCCGGGGAAACUCGGAUUAAUACCGCAUACGCUCUACGGAGGAAAGAGGGGGCUUCGGCUCUCGCUAUUGGAUGGGCCUGCGUGAGAUUAGCUAGUUGGUGAGGUAAUGGCUCACCAAGGCGACGAUCUCUAGCUGGUCUGAGAGGAUGAUCAGCCACACUGGGACUGAGACACGGCCCAGACUCCUACGGGAGGCAGCAGUGGGGAAUAUUGCACAAUGGGCGCAAGCCUGAUGCAGCCACGCCGCGUGUGUGAAGAAGGCUUUCGGGUUGUAAAGCACUUUCAGUGGGGAGGAAGGCCUCGUAGUUAAUAGCUGCGAGGAUUGACGUUACCCACAGAAGAAGCACCGGCUAACUCCGUG
rnacentral:rRNA from 1 species